UACGGAAGGCAGCAGUGGGGAAUAUUGCACAAUGGGCGAAAGCCUGAUGCAGCUAUGCCGCGUGUAUGAAGAAGGCCUUAGGGUUGUAAAGUACUUUCAUCGGGGAGGAAAAACAAAACUAAUAAUUUUAUUUCUUGACGUUACCCGAAAAAGAAGCACCGGCUAACUCCGUGCCAGCAGCCGCGGUAAUACGGAGGGUGCUAGCGUUAAUCAGAAUUACUGGGCGUAAAGAGCACGUAGGUGGUUUUUUUAAGUCAGAUGUGAAAUCCCUGGGCUUAACCUGGAACUGCAUUUUGAAACUGAAAUACUAGAGUAUCGUAGAGGGAGGUAGAAUUCUAGGUGUAGCGGUGAAAUGCGUAGAUAUCUGGAGGAAUACCUGUGGCGAAAGCGGCCUCCUAAACGAAUACUGACACUGAGGGUGCGAAAGCGUGGGGAGCAAACAGGGAUUAGAUACCCGU
rnacentral:rRNA from 1 species